CCCAUAUUCCUACGGGAAGCAGCAGUGAGGAAUUUUUCACAAUGGACGAAAGUCUGAUGGAGCAAUACCACGUGAACGAUGAAGGUCUUCUGAUUGUAAAGUUCUUUUAUUUAGGAAAAAAAGCGCGCUAGGAAAUGAGCGCGCCUUGAUGGUACUAAUUGAAUAAGUGACAGCUAACUAUGUGCCAGCAGCUGCGGUAAAACAUAGGUCACAAGCAUUAUCCGGAUUUAUUGGGCGUAAAGGAAGCGUAGGCGGGGAGGCUGAUCCAUUGUUAAAGGCAUUUGCUCAACAAAUGUGUGCGAUGGAGAUCUCCUCCCUAGAGUUAAUCAGGGGGUACUGGAAUUCAAUGUGUAGCGGUGGAAUGCGUAGAUAUAUUGAGGAACACCAGAGGCUAAGGCGAGUACCUGGGAUAUAACUGACGCUGAGGCUUGAAAGCGUGGGGAGCAAAUGGGAUUAGAUACCCCAGUAGUCCACGCCGUAAACGAUGAGCAUUAGGUAUUUGAUGUUAGGUCGAGUGCUGUAGCUAACGCGUUAAAUGCUCCGCCUGGGUAGUAUAUAUGCAAAUAUGAAACUCAAAGAAAUUGACGGGGACCUGAACAAGUGGUGGAGCAUGUUGCUUAAUUCGAUAAUACACGAAAAACCUUACCAAGGCUUGUUAUCUAC
rnacentral:rRNA from 1 species